CAACUGUGAGCCAUCUCUCCAGCCCCGCUUCUGUUUUAUGUAUGUGUAUCACGUGCAGGUCUGGUACCACUGGAAGUCAGGAGAGGAUGUCAGACGCCUCUGGACUUACAGACAGUUGUGAGCUAACUGACACAGACGCUGGGGUCAAACCCAGAUCCUGCACAGGAGCAGCCGGCGCUUUAACCACUGAACCACCUCUCCAGCGCUCAGAAUUGUUUUCCAUGUGAGCUCCGAGUACUGAACUCAACUCCUCACCUGCAGGGCAAGCAGUUCCCACUGAGCCAUCUUCCCAGGCCCUGCUCUUACUGCUAACAGAAACCUCUGGGGCAGCAAGCCCCUGCGCCUCGUUCGCUUCCGGAAGAAGCGGGUCCCAGAGUUGAAUGCAGCUGCCUCCCGGUCUGAGCCAAGUUCUGUUUCCUGCCUCCCUGGACAACGAAGGGCAGUGGUUGUGAGAUCUCCUUAAAUGGCUGAAGGAGAGCCUGGAUUUAGGGUUUCAGGAGCAAGCUGCAGGCAAGCAUGGCUGAUAAUGCCAUCUCAGUUUCUCUUCGGGCGGCAACGACAAAAUGCUCUUAACAGUUCAGGGGUGUGGUCCAUCAGGGCAGAGUAGGAAGGCAGGACCCAGGAGACUGAAGCAGCUGCCCUUAUACGUCCACAGUCAGGAACAGAGUGACAGCUGCAUGUCACCCCUCAGCUUCUCUCUCCACUCAGCCCAGGAGGCCAGCCCGGGAAAGGCGCGCCACCCCAGCUUUCAUCGGCAACGCCGUGCAGAGGAUGCUGACCGGGCAGAGUCCAGAGAGGCUUCCCAGCCGCAGCCAGAGCAGACACUGACGACCCAAUGGCAGCAUACAGGAUGCUGGACGGAGGCUCCAGGGAGAGGAUCAGUGCCAGCCACAGCCGCUCAGCCAUGACACGUGUGUUGCCUUGGUUGGAUCCCCCGGAAGCAGAGGUAGAUGGCUGACUUAGGAGGUGGUCUCCGGAGAAGCAGAAUGGCGUGGUGAUCACACAGGAGCAGAUGAGACAGAAGGAAGCCCACUGUGUGGCUGGGAAACACUCAGUAUCUGCUGUGUAGGCAUGAGGAGGUCGCUUUGAUCACCAACACUCAUGUAAAAAGCAGGCAAGUUGUAAUCUCAGUUCUGGGGAGACAGAGAGAGGAGGACCCUUGGAGCUCACUGGCCAGCCAGCUUAGAAAUGGGGAGCCCCAGAUGCCAGUAAUAGACCUUAUCUCAAGACACCAACAGGCCAACAAGAUGGCUCAGCAGACACAUGCACUUGCAACCAAGCCUGGUGACUUGAGU